GUAAUCCGCGCCGAGCGUCGCGAAAGCGCCGUUCCCCUUAGUGACCGGCGACGCGAGCAAGAUGGCGGCGCCGGGGGUGGCGGAGGCCGUGGCGGCCUCACACCCGGCCGAGGGGGCCGAGAUGGCGGAGGCGGCAGAGCUGAGCCGCGCCCUGAGCCGCCUGCUGCCGGGGCUGGAGGCCGACAGCAAACCGGGCCGGCGGCGCGCCUUGGAGGCCCUGCGGCGCGCGCUGGAGGAGCCGGGCCCUGCCGCCGACCCCACCGCUUUCCAGGGCCCCUGGGCGCGCCUGCUGCUGCCGCGCCUGCUGCGCUGCCUGAGCGACCCCGCCGAGGGCUGCCGCGCGCUGGCAGUGCACCUGCUGGGUCUGGGCCUGCGCCGCGCCGCGCGGCCCCGCGAUGCCCUGCCGCGCCUGCUGCCCGCGCUCGCCGCGCGCUUGGCCGGCCCCGAGCCCGCGCGCCGCCCGCCCGAGGCCUGCGAGGAGCUGCGCUUGGCGCUCGUGCAGUUGCUGGGUCUGGCCGUGGACCUGUGUGGCGCCGCGCUCGCGCCCCACCUGGACGACGCCCUGCGCGCGCUGCGCUGCUCCCUGCUGGACCCCUUCGCCGCCGUGCGCCGCGAGAGCUGCAGCUGCGCCGCCGCUCUGGCGCAGGCCACGCCCGACCACUUCCACAUGCAGUCGGAGUCUCUGAUCGGGCCCCUGAUGCAGACCAUCUCCCACCAGCACUGGAAGGUCCGUGUGGCCACCGUCGAAGCCACAGGUGCGGUGAUCCAGUUUGGCAAUGGGAAGUCCGUGGACGACGUGCUUUCCCAUUUUGCUCAGCGACUGUUUGAUGACGUCCCACAGGUCCGGCGGGCGGUGGCCUCUGUGGUAGGCGGCUGGCUGCUGCGUCUGCGCGACCGCUACUCCUUCUUCCACAAGCUCAUCCCUCUGCUGCUCAGCAGCCUCAACGACGAGGUGCCCGAGGUCAGGCAGCUGGCUGUCAGCCUCUGGGAAGAGGUUGGCCUGCAGUGGCAGAAGGAGAAUGAGGAAGACCUGAAGGACAAGCUGGACUUUGCCCCUCCCACCCCACCCCAUUACCCUCCACAUGAGCAUCGCCCUGUGCUGGGCUGCCGGGAGCUUGUCUUCAGGAACCUCUCCAAGAUCCUCCCUGCCCUGUGCCACGACAUCACAGACUGGGUGGUGGGCACCCGAGUGAAGUCGGCACAGCUGCUGCCAGUGCUGCUGCUGCACGCCGAGGACCACGCCACGCAGCACCUGGAGAUCAUCCUCCGGACCCUGUUCCAGGCCUGCACCGACGAGGAAGCAGCCGUGGUCCACAGCUGUACGAGAUCCGCAGAGCUCGUCGGGACGUUUGUCAGCCCCGAGGUGUUUCUGAGGUUGAUCUUAUCGACACUGAAGAAGGCGCCCUCCGCUUCCGGCCUCCUGGUGCUGGCCUCCGCCAUGCGGGGUUGCCCCCGAGAAGCCCUCCAGCCGCACCUGGCAGCCAUAGCCACGGAGCUGGCACAGGCCCACAUCUGCCAGGCGUCUGAAAACGACCUCUACCUGGAGCGCCUGCUGCUGUGUGUGCAGUCUCUGGUGUCCGUGUGUCGUGAGGACUGCGGUGUGGCCAGCCUGCAGCUCAUGGACGUGCUGCUGACAAUAGUGGCCCUCGCAGGUGCCACCGGCCUGAGAGACAAGGCACAGGAGACAAUGGACUUGCUGGCCAGAGCGGAGGGUGUCGGUGGCUGCCAGGACCUCUAUCGCAAGCACAUGGGUCCCCUCCUGGAGCGGGUGACUGCGUCGCACCUAGACUGGACCGCACACUCACCAGAGCUCCUGCAGUUCAGUGUCAUCAUCACGCAGUCAGAAGCAUUUCUUAAGGUGCUGGCGGAACUAAUUGGCAGCUUAGAACACACAUCUCUUUGGACCCACCUCUGUCAUUUGCUGAAAGGCAGGAAGACUGCAGUGUGCUGUUCAGCGUCAAGAGCUGGGCCCUGCCCUAGGAGAAGCCCUGCCACACGUCAUGCCCACGCUCAGGGCCUGUCUGCAGCCCUCCCGAGACCCGCAGAUGCGCCUGAAGCUGUUCUCCAUCCUGUCCACUGUGCUGCUCAGAGCCACAGACACCAUCGACUCCCAGGGGCAGUUUCCCAGCUACCUCGAGACAGUGACAAAGGACAUCCUGGCCCCUAAUCUGCAGUGGCACGCGGGGAGGACAGCCGCGGCCAACCGCACGGCUGCCGUGUCCUGCCUCUGGGCGCUCACCAGCAGCGAGGUCCUGUCGGCAAAGCAGAUACAGGACGUGCAGGAAACACUGAUGCCUCAGGUCCUGACCACCCUGGAGGAGGAUUCGCAGAUGACACGACUGAUUUCGUGCCGUAUUAUCAACACGUUCUUAAAAACCUCGGGCAGCAUGACGGAUCCAGAGAAACUCAUCAAGAUUUAUCCUGAACUCUUAAAACGCCUAGACGACGUUUCCAACGACGUGAGGAUGGCAGCCGCCUCCACUUUGGUCACCUGGCUGCAGUGUGUCAAGGGUGCUGACGGAAAGUCCUACUAUCAGAGCAGUGUCCAGUACCUGUACCGAGAGCUGCUGGUUCACCUUGACGAUCCAGAGAGGGCCAUCCAGGAUGCGAUUUUAGAGGUCCUCAAAGAGGGCAGUGGGCUGUUCCCAGAUCUCCUGGUGAGGGAGACAGAGGCCGUCAUCCACAAGCACCGCUCGGCCACCUACUGCGAGCAGCUCCUGCAGCAUGUGCAGGCCGUGCCAGCCACGCAGUGACCACGCCAGCACGAGCCACAGCACACCCACAUCCCCACCUGACCCGGAGUUUAUGGUCUUUAAAUCGCAUAAACAAGGUACCUCUGUGCCAGCAGUGAGACUGUGACAGCAAGAACGUACUCCUCGGGACACCUGCCCGCUCUUCCCCUGAAAUAACAGCUUCUGAGUGGAUUCUGCAUUUUAUGUGAUUUGUUCCGUUCAGCGAGCGGUCUGCCAAACGUCUACAGCUGAUGUGAAAUUAAAAGUAAAUCACAGCUGCUCAUCAUCUUAGUUUUUAUGCCUCACAUGCGCAGCUGGGUGCGUGGAUCAUCAGUUCCAUCCUGCUUAGAUGCCCACCAAGAAGUUUUUACCUAUUUAACAAAAAAGAAAAAAGCCAAAGUGAUUAUAAAGAAAUGAAAUCUCUUUUUGGGUUCUGUCUCCCGAAAUUUAAUAUCCCCGUGAACAGACUAAAAGGAAUUUGGAAUCUUAAGAACUUCACGAAUUUCUCGUUUUAAAUAUACUGGGAUUUUAAAGGUUAUAUAUCCAGUCGCCAUAUAUUUUAAGUCAGUAAUGCUAAAAGUGUUGAAAACAGAAUAUUUCAUCAGAUCUAAUUUUGGUUGCCCCUAUAGGUAGCAAGAAAGUAAAAUCGUAUUUCCCUCUCGCACAUUCUACACCCAAGUGCCUAAAAGAUCUCAUUGUAAGUGGGUAUUGUUACCGUAAGCCAUUGUGUUCACACAAGGGGGAAAUGCUGUGUCUAUUUUUCAACAAAUAUUAACAUUUAUACUUUCAUGUUUGAAAAUUUAAUUAAAAAUAUUUGUU